rnacentral:lncRNA from 1 species
AUUGAAAUGUAAAAAUCCAAAGCUAAAAGUUAAACCAGAGCAUCAAACAGAAGAAUCAGAACAGCUUCAGGUGACCUCAGAGGGUACAAGUUUGGUCUAUAAAGAACACCUCAAAUAUAACAGACAAGGUCAACGAAGAAAUAAAUCACAUGUUUGAUUCUAAUGAAGUAAUUCCACCAUAUCAGAGAAAUUCAGGAGACUCUGAGGUGUUCAAUAUUGAUACUACUUUAAAUCUGGUUGAACAGAUCAGGAGGCAGAGCAAAGAUCCUGAGAGCCUACGGAUAAUGUCAUUUGCCAUUCACUCAUAUAAAAAAUCAAUGGAACUUCAAAACCAUAAAUUUGAAAUGCUUUCUGAGGAAAAUAGAAAACUUAAAGAUCAUCUUAGCUUAUUAAAAAAGGAUCUUUCAGAAUCAAAAGAAACUACACUAGAGCUAAAAGUUAUGAAGGCUCAACAGCAGGCAGAACUGUCCAACCUGAGGUAUAGUAUUCCAAUUUUAGAGACACAUUUGGUGAGUUUAUAUUUCAUGAUACCAUUUAGAUUUUUUGUCAUUUGUCACUUUCUUUGAAGAGUUUGCAGCAGAGAAAAUUUCUCAAAUUUUGGCUUAUUAUAAUUAUGAUUAUUAUUUUUUGUUACUUGGCAGCAGUUCCUUGUAUUGAGAUCAGAUCUACUUUCACAUCUUACCUCAGAUCCCCUUUGACCUUUAUUAUUUCUUCUCUGUUAUAUUCUUCUUUCACCUCUUUCUUUUCCUCCCCACUGAGUCCAAUUAGUCCUUCACAGUGCUGUCCCCUGGUGCAUGAGCAUCCUACCAUGCUCCAUGUCACUGAAGUAAACUGACUCUUCCUCUUUUAGUUGCUAUCAACUACCAAUAGCUCCUCACGUGUGGGUCGAGCCACUCUGUGCCACUAUGUCUACUUGAGAAAAGUGUUUAGUUCUAUGAAGUAGGAAAUUUAUGUUAAUAAUAAAUUGCCAUUAUUAUGGUCA